ensembl:lncRNA
UUUGGAAAGUUAACUGACUCCUUAACUGAAUCUUAAACUUUGUAUGGUCAUCUAGCCUUCCAGUCAUUAUCUCUUACAGAGAAAAAGGAGAGUGCACAGUAAGUCUGAGGCAAAAAUAUAAAACAGAAUAAGAGACCAACCAGAGGAUAAUUUCUUCUCAUUUCUCAGUCCUGCAAUUCUGGACUCUUCACAGAUAGCAGAUAUAAUGUUUCUGAGCACAUGUGAAUAGAAGGUACAUAUUUGCUGAGAGGCAUGGUGGACUUUGGACUUGACACCUCUGUACAUAACAUAGCGUCCUCCAUCCUGACCUCUUAUCAUACCAACUUCCAGGCUGCAAGUUUCAUAUGUAUCUCGAGUUCUCCGUUUCUCAGAGACGUAUAGUGACUGAUCCGUCAAAUGGAGCUUCAGAGGAACCGUCUGAUGUUUGCAACAGUCCACAUUCUUUGUCCAUCACUCAACCAGAGUUAGGCACAUAAGACAGAUGUGGUAUAAGCUUUUGCUUCAUUUCCACGUUAGACAAGGUGUGGAAGUUGCGAUGGGUGACAUCAAGAUUCUCCAGCCGGAAAGGGAAGACAGGUUUGUCACUACAUGCCACUGUGUUUUAUGAUCAACAGAAGAGCACCUGCAAUCCCAUCAGCAUGUCUUCAAAGGUUAUCCAUAAGGAGUACAUUUGAGAGAAUGUUGAAUGCGGACAGGUUAUCUACUUGUCCUCACAAGUGGAUACAAAUAAGAUACUGCACAGCACAAGCAAUAUACCUCUUCAAAGAAGAGAAGGAUUCAAGCUGACUCUUAUCAACAGCUUACUGCAAAACUGGUAGGAGGUUUCUCUUCCUUCCUGGCUUGUUGUACAGUUU